ACUGAAUAAAAUCAUAACUAAUUUCUAGAAUUGACAAACAAUAUAAUUCUUGAAAAUUUAUCAUUAGGGACAAUUAGCAAAACACUCUUGGGAAGAAGCAUAGCAUUUGUCCUUUUCACCAGUGCAACACCAUUUGGGUGCAACUCCUAGAUCAACAAGUGGGAUGCAUGUAUGGGCUGCAAGUUUUCCUUUAACUCUUAUACUUUCAUCACCUGCAUAUUAAUAAAAAAUAAAACACAUCAAUUAGUGUGAAAGAAAAAACUUUAUACUAUCAAAUAUUUAAAAGAUAACAACGUGUAAUCAUGCAUAAAAAAUGAAACGCAUAACCUAAAAAAUAAGGUAGGUUUACUUGUUUCAACAAUUUUAAAUAUAAUGAUAGUGUUUAAAAAAAAAUUUCACUUCAGUCAUAUUGUUUCAAUCACUACUAAGAAACUUUCUGAUAGAAAUAUCGUUCAAAAUUCUCAUCAUUGGAAACAUUUUCGAUGAAUUUUUCACUGAAAAUCUCAAAUUUUUGUUGGAAAUAUUUGUCCAAAUGUAUACCAAUCUAUAAUUUUGUGCAUUUAAAAAUGAAAAGAUUUUUGUGUUGUUCUAUUACUUUGUUGCUUAUAGUGGUAGUUUAAAUGAUCAAAUAAAACUAAUAAGUAUAAAAAAGAGUAAAUAUGGACGUACAAUGGUGAAGAGCCAACAAAGAAAGUAAAAUCAAACAAAGCAUCCAAAUUGAUUGAAGCGAGAAUUUUGUGGUGGCCAUUAAAGAAUAUGUUAUCAGUGCUCAAAAG
rnacentral:lncRNA from 1 species